ensembl:lncRNA
CGGAUAUCGGGCACGGGGCAUUUCCGUCCCCUGUAAUUAAUGGUGUGCAGGGCUGCCUGGCUCUGUGGCAGGCAGGGGAGAUGCAAGCGAGCGGAGGGUGUCACGCCUCCCCCUCUCACCGCUCGGCUGGGAAAACCGCUGGACCAAAAAGCGGGGCAAAGAAUACAUUCAUUCAUGGCUAAAGGCAGCUUUUGUCCAUUAGAGAAAACCCACGGAGAGGAACCAUCCCCGUCUGGCUCUGGCGUCCAGGCGCAGGCGAGUGGCCAGGCAGCCGCUGGUGUGAUGCCUACGUAGCACCGCGCCAUGGAGACGGGACAGGGGAUUCCUGAGGUGACGGGGCUGCAGCGCGAGAGUGGAGCGGCACGGGAUGGAGCAUUUGCACGGCUUGGUCAGAGCCUGAGCAGAGCGGUGCUGUGUGAAUAGUGUCUGUCACCUGCACAGAUGACCCUGGUGUGUGGUAGCAUGGUAUGCUUUAGUGUGUUGUGCAAGUUGGCAGCACAGAGGCUGAGAUAAGGCCUCACCUUUGGAUGCUGCUGCAGCUCUGGUCGUUGGAGCAGCACCUCAUCAGCACAGAUGGGUUUCCUGCUGGUGCCCAAGCUGGACAAAAUGUAAAACAGCUUAAAGGAAGAUUAGUUCAAUUCCAGUUUCAAAGUAGACAUGGGGGUGUUUUUGUUGGAAGAGGAACACCGGCGUGAUCUUCUGUAAAGCUGCAGUCACUUCUCCGAGCCUGCUAAGUCUGUUGGGAGCAGCAGAGCCAUCACUGGGUUGCAAUAUUGAAACUCCCUUCCCAUGUCUCUGUGCUUGGAACCUCAGAAUCGUAUUAUCAUUAAGACUGGAAAGACCAGUAAGCUCAUGUGGUCCAACCAUCAGCUCACGUCUUUGGCCGCUCUAUACCAUGUCCCUCAGUGCCUCAUCCACACAUUUCUUGAAUACAUCCAUGGACAGUGACUCCACCACCUCCCUGGGCAGCCAGUGCCUCACUGCUCUUUCUGAGAAGAAAUUCUUCCUAAUAUCCAACCUGAAUCCAUUCUGGUGCAACUUGAAGCCAUUACCUCUUGCCCUAUUGCUGCUUAAUCCCUACAAUACCCCUACAGUCCUCCUCAAACCCUCUCUCUUUCUCUGGGCUGUCUUCCAGGCAGCUGAGCCUGUGCACAGUGCCUGGUCACCAGCUUAGCCACGUCCUCUUUGGUGCCCAUCGGCUCCUUCUGCCCUACUCCAUGUGCCUGGAGCUUGUGGACAAGAGCACUUUGCACGUGAUGGGGCUGCUCUGAAGAGCAGUGCGUUGGGCAGACACAACGUGUCCCAGAGGCCAGCGGGUCUCCAGGAGAGAGCGGAGGGAAUUCAUACAAAUGUCAUCUGAGUGGUGAAGGAAAGAAUAAGAGCAGAUGAUAAAGAAAGGCAGAUUUCUAAGGUUGGAUCAGCUGGAGCUGUAAAGACUCCCCAGCUGCACAACAGUCCCAUUCUGGAGUAUUUCAGCCUUCUGUGUAUCUAAACUACCUAGCUUUGGGCUGUUCUGUCUCAUGGAGCUCCUUGUAGUUGCUGGAUGGAAAACUUGGUUGUUUGCAGUUUUUUGUUGUAAGUUUAAUGGGGAUAAAAACCAUACAAAGAUAAUGAAGAUAAAAAUCCAGUGACAUCUGUUUGCACUUUAAAAAACUGCGUAAAAACUGAAAACAUGCAAAUAAACCUAGCAUUUGAUGAGUGAUGAGCAGUUUCCCCUCAGCCUCUAUGACAGUCUGGAGCUGCUAAUGACUAGACAGGAUGUAACUACAGCUAAGAGAAAGCCACAAGAAAAUAACUCUUGAUGAAUAAAGUCAAGUGCCGGCAUUCAGCCUCACUGGAGUCCUCAGACAGGUGGAAGCUGGCAACCCUGAGCAGCCCCUAUGUCUGUUGACUCUCCCAAGCCAUAGAACCAUAGAAUUGUUAAGGCUGGGAAAGACCACUAAGACCAUCUAGUCCAACCAUCAACCCAUCAAUCCAUGCAUAGUCCCUAAUGAUCCUGAUGCAGGAUCCACUCUGUCAGCGCCAGACCCUCUUGCUAUGCCCUGAAAAUGCAGGUGGUUCUUCAGACUAUCACCAUGAUGGCCAAAUUACCCAAGGGUGGAAGCAGGAUAUCAAAUGUGGGAUGCUCUGAGUUUCUCUUCAGGUGUGCCAAGCAGGGAAGCUUGGAAGGUUACGGAGGAUGUCCUAGCCGACUCCACAGCUGGGCUUGCAGCACCAGAGAAGAAAAUGAAAGGGAUAAGUGCUGGCAGCCCUGGAAAUACCCAUGUGGGAUGCAUCCCACCAGCAACAGAACCCCUGAGGAAGGUGUCAGGGCUGAGAGGGGCAAGUAUGGAGCCAACACAUCUGCCUUCAUCCUUUGUCGUGGGUGUUCUCUCCAGCUAAGCAGCUCAGUCCACAAGCAACCAAGACAGGCCCCGGAGCAGGAUAGCUCAUACCCUGCUGACGCAUAUGGUCAUUAUUUAGUGAUCCUGAGCCUUGCUGACUGCACGAAAAAUUACAGAAGUUGGCCUGAUGGUACAGAACUAACUUAAGGCAGACAGCACACCCCCUUCCCUGAAAGGGGAAACUCACUGAACUCCCUGGGAUGACUCUCAGAAGCCAGCAAUAAGAACGGGAAUAAAAAUUGCAUAACUUAGCACUGUUUGCAAUGGCCCAGUGCCUUCUAGCUAUCCAGGCCCCUUCUGAGUAUUGCUAAGUUCAGGAAUAGUGCUAAGAUAUCUGUUAUUCCACUGGAAUUCCCCACCCUUUAAAUUUUCUGCCACUUCUGUUGUUAUGAAGGAAGGGCAGGUGGCCCUAGCUGUUCCCUGUGAGACCAUUAGCACACUGGUAUUGAGGUUUCCUCUUACUCUUCUCCCUCCUAAUGUAACGUAUCCCAGCAUUUUCAGGGUAUUCAGAUAAGAACUAGCCCAGGGCCAUUCUCACCAUGUUAUCUUUCUGGGACCUACGGUGGUGGCUGCACACUGGGUAAUGUAAAGAUGUUGGGACCUCAACAGCAUUCUUUCCCAAGCCCUUUUACACUAUGCCCACAUCCUCCCCAGGCAUUUCUACAGACAUCUUAGAACGCUGUGAAGUCCACAAGUGCUUCAGGCUGCAUUAACAUGUGUUCAUCAUCCCGGGCUGUGUCCUGCAACUGGAAUCCCUCAUCACUGAGCAUCUCAGGUUGUCUCCUCAAGAGUCCUCAAGUUCCUUCUUGUCCAGCAGGUGGGCAAGAGUGUGUCAAGCUCCAGAUCUGGGAAAUCUGGGAGUGUUGGAGGGAUCUCAAGAAGAUAAAAAUACCAACUUGCCACCAAAUGCAACAAUACAGCUCUUCAGCAUUGCCUGGAUGAUGAGUGAACAGAAAUCCCUGCAGCCCUAAAUGCUCCCACCUGAUCAGUCCCCCAGCAGCUGCCUUUGCCUUCAGAACCUGAUGAAAGGGGACUUGAAGAGCUGGAUAUCUGUAUUUUUAGGGCAGCUUUUCAUGAGCCUACUGACUCUUACCUCCUAGGCCAGCCUGUGGCAGAGAGAUCUCCUUCUGAGCUGUGGCCCUAAGGUAGCAGCUCCUCUGCUCUGCACCAGCACUGAGCCUCUGGGUUUUUUCCUGGUAGGAUGGGAGAGCCUAAAGCAGUUGUGUUAGAUCCUGCUGCCCAUCUGAUUGUAGAUAAAAGAAAAAAAAAACAGAAGAUAAAUGAGAAAAUGAGGAGAGCCGUCAUACUGCUUGGGUAGAGCUGGUAAAACCUCACUCCAGGAUAUUUGUUAAGGUCAGUGGAAUUUAAGCACUUUCUUGGAAAUUUGUGUAAGCGGUUCUGUGAGCAAAAGCUCCGGAGCAGGCUUGGGCAAGGCCUGGCAGGGCAAACGUGACUGCAGGCAGAAGCACUCUCUCUUUCCCUGGGAUGCAAACUCGCUAACCUCUGUGGGAUGGUGGGGACAACAUGAGGAAUGAGCACAUGGAUUGCAUAACACGCUAUGUCAGAAACUAGGCUUGAUGCUGAGCCAAUGUAAAUUUAAACCAAGUGCUACAUUAGGUCAGAUCAAAAGUCCACCUUGUUCAUUCUCCUGACUUUGACAACAACUACAAGCGUUGAGUUCAGGGGUACAGCAUAAAAGUCGGACCUUUGCAGAAUGAUCUUUCCCCACUAUGGGCCCCUAGCCUCAGACGUGUCCGAAGACGGAGUUUUGGCUGGACCAUUGUGUUUAGCAGUGAGAGCCUUCUCCAGAAGUCUGCCUAGAGCCUUGUUGGAGCCAUGUGGGUAUGUUCUUCCCACACUGAGCUCCGCAGGGUGGUCAUGGGGCGGCCACACGCAACGUGAAAGGAAUAGCGCUACCAAAUGGAUAGAGGGGCCUCAUGAAGGUGUGCCGCACAAAAUCCGGCCCCUGCCUUCCACUCACGCUUCUCAGCACUCACGCAGCGGAAGACUAAAAACUGUUCUGUGCUUCUGGAGGAGUCCUGCAGACGGAGCAUACAGAAGGAGCUGAAGAAGCCCAAGUAUGAAAGAAGUUGCCGGUCAUUACCGCGCGAGGGAUGCCUCCACGGGAACUCCACAAAGUGAUGUUAAUUGUGAUGCUUUGAAAAUGUUGUGUAAACAAGUGUUUCUGAGAUACAUAUGUUGCAAGUUAUUAUGCGGCCAUAAAAGAGCAAGGAAAGAAGAAACCGAAACACAAAAUGUUCUGUGACGCCAGAACGCACUUCUGGAGAGUAUCAGUUUGCAAACCGCAGUGUAAGUUUAUGCCCACAAUUCAAUUGACCUCCUGAAAGCAAAGGUAAACAGGAAUAGAAGGGCAGGCGUCUGCGGUUCCCUCUCUCCUCUGGAGAAAUAUAUUCUCUAUCAAGCUCUGUCCUGUUUCAUCGUGUUCUGUCAGCCUCUGAGCAGCUAAAACAGAACUAGUAGAGACCUACGCACUUAGGUGGGCUGGGAAUGGGGCCUGGGAGACACAGUUUGCCAUUAGGAGAGCGCUGAGCUCCCAAAUCUCAAGAGGGAACCCUACAGCCACCCUGAAAAACACACGAACGAAAACAAAAGGGUGGCUUAAGAAAGCAGCCUGCUCUGAGGGGCUGCGCUUUUGUGGUGGGAAUCAAACCUUUAGUGGGAGGGAAGGCAAGUCGUGGGUGGAACCUGCCCCCCAGGAGGAGAUAGAAUAAGUAAUCGUCAGGAAGGUAAGGCCAGGGGUUGGCUCAGCUCCACUGCUGGUUCCAGCUCAGCCUCUCCCAGCACAGCCCCUCUGCACGAUCCCCACAGUGGUAGGGUUACGGCGUGAUGAACAGGCAGCCAUGCACUGGGAGCCUGUUCUCCAACCUGGAGAGAGGGGUGAGUGGGGAAGGGAUGUGCUCUGGCCCCACAGCUCUGUGUGUCACAUCCCCAGCUGGCGUGAGGGAUGGCAGGAUGGGGUGCACUGGCAAAGCGUGGCUGCUCAUUGCCAGGGUUGUGUCUAUCUCCAGAGCCAGGAGCACGUGUGGUGGAAGCAAACUGGUUGUGGAGGUUUCUGGCUGGCUUUGCUCUGUGCGUACACAUGCUCGCAUUCCUAUUUACAUACACCUCCACCCACACAGAAUCUGAACUGGAAUCAAAAUAAUUUGAAAUCAUAGAGUGCGAUUUUCCUAUGGCAAAGCCAACCUGAGCUUCACCCUGUGGGUGCUCCUUAUGCAAACUUCCCAUUCUUUCCCCCGCUCUUUCCCACUGCUCUGUGUAGAUGAACCCCUCUUGCAUCACGUUGUCUCCCCGGUUCUGAUCUGGCUCAGUGGGACAGCUCAUCUUCUGACAUCACAACUUCUGAAUGGUUCUGCACUCCCGCGUGAAGCACUUGCUCUGUGGAGGCUGGUGAGAUUAAAUGCCCAGCAAGCACCCAGGAAGGGCUGCCAGCUGCAGCUUCGCUCCAUUAGUACGACGUGUGCCAGGGACUGGGAGCUGAGCAGCCCCAGAAGGCAGCUUCCUGAUGCAAUUAAGAUAGAGGUGAAUUUAGAGACAUCUUGCCAGUCUCAUGGGACACAUGCUGCUAAUUAAAAGUCAAUCAGAGCAUUUAGGACCAAGGACGAAGAUGCAUGCUCUGGUGGUAGAAGACAUUUCUGCAUGUUCUCAUUACUCCGGUGUCUGGAUCUACAGAACGUGGCCUGUGCAAGAGAGGUUUCCUUGGACUCUUGGCUUACACUGUAUGCUUUAUCCAGCCUAAACGUUUGGGAAAAUCAGAGAGGCAGGCCGUCCUGCAGGUCAGGCACUGGGGUGAGGCUCAGGGGUUUUCAGUUUUGCAUUUGAAUCAUCUGGAUUUGAAGCACAGUGCUGGAAAAGUCACUUUCUUUAUGCCUCCGUUCACAUCAUACAGGCAGGGCGUGCAGAGGGCUUCCUCUGGUGGGACCCUGCCCAAACAAUAGAGCUUUGAGCCAGGGACGGUUUCCUAUUCCAAGUGUGCAGCAUGGCUGGUCUCUCAUCUCCCUCACCCUUAAGACAGCUGUGAUACAAAUGGUCAAUCAUCAGAAGACUGUUUUUUUUCCCGACUGUGAAUUCAAUUUCAACCAGGCAUUGUGUUCUCUGCAAAUUAUGAGCAUUUCUGUUGGAAGGUUUGCGACCCUGGCAAGCAAGUGAAUAGGGUUUGUGCACUGACAGUAAUUAAAUGAUGCAUUCACUUUGGGGUUGAGGAGGAAAUGUGCUCUAGGGUGGUCCAUCGAAUCCAGAAGCAGCACCACACGACUGAAGAGGCAGCUCAAACAAAGGAUUUCACAGCGAGACUUUUACAGCUAAGGCAUUCGGGGUCUUUGGAUUGGGAUUCAGUUCCCAGACACAGAUCUGCAGCAAAAGCUGAGGCUCUCAGGUUCAUCCGUAUGAGGGGAUGCACAGCUACCUGGCAGGCUGGGGGAGCUUCCAGCAGAAGGAGCCACACGUAUGUGAUGAUAACACGUGUCCUGGUGUGAUAUUGGGAGGCUAAAAUCCCUUCUCCAAGUCAUUUGAAAUGGCAACCUUAGGAAAGCAGAAAAUCAAAAGAUAAUCUGUUUGUAAAGGGGACAGGAAUUAAUUAAGUGUACAUUGUGUAGAGUGAAUAUUUUAUGUGUAUUUAAUUACGUUUCCCUCUCCUAUUUCGCCCCUUUGGAUUUUAAAGCGGUUCAGAAACAAACUAAAGUUGUGUUUCACAUCAGCUCCUUCAGGUCUGGGAUCAAGUAACCUUUUUCCCCCUUCAGCUGUCAAAGGAAGCUGGUGGCUGGGGACUGCCAGCAGAGCGGAUAAGCAUCCGCUGAACACUGCCAGUUCCUAGGACUGAUCCAACGCCAGGCAGUGCCCCUGAUGGCUCCCAGCUUCUCCCCCCACCAUUGUUCCCCUCCCAGCCCUCUCUGAUGGCCACCCAGCUGUUCUCCUGCUCCAGCCCUCAGAUUUACAGUCUGUCACAGCUUGCAGCUGCCAGCGGGGCUUGAUUGAGGCUGGCGUGCUGUGGUUGGAAGGGCUGGCCCUUCCCCCUUGUUUCUGGGGCUGCCACCUUGCCCUCCAAAAAAUCCAAGUGCUCAGAAGAGCAGACAAAACCAUACAGUGAAGUCUUCAAGUGGAUGGAUCCCAAAGCAGGGAAUCUGCCUGAGCGUGCCAACAGCUGGAUGCAAAGGCACCAUGAAACACAAUGUUGCUUAGCUGUUUGGGAGGACUCAACCUUUGUAGCCUUGGGGAGAUGCUGGAAGGUCAGCACAGCUCCCAACAUAUUGGAAGAGGAGCGCUGCAAAGAUAUGCUUCACCACCUUUUGGCUGUUAGGAGGGGGACACUAUCCUAUAUCAGCUCACUCCUCAGCCCUGGGAGCACUCACCAGAGUACUACCCUCUAAAUGCUGACCCUUUCAGCUCUUCUCCCCAGCUCACUCCCCAGAGAUGUUCUGACAUAUCUGCCUUGGUUUCAAAUCCCAUCUCCCCAUCCCUUGUUAAAGCUCUCCCACUGCUCUGCCCCCACCCUGCUGUGUCUACAUGUUGCUGGCGUUCCGUCUGUGCUCCAUCCCUAAACUCCUUUUUUCGAGGUUGGGAGCAGACUCUCAGACUUGGUGCCAAGCUCAGCACAGGCCCUGCAGUUCCCUCUUUCCCCGCUGCCAGGACGUGCCAAGCUCCAGUCACUGCCUAGGGAGAGGGUGAUCCUCUGCAGUCAUUCCCCUCCUUCCCCUCAAAUGCUGGGAGCUGCUUGAGCUUUUUCUAUGCUUUUAUCCCUCACACCAAGAAAAUUAACCACUAAUGAAAAACAUUUGGCUUGCAAGUUCUUGCUGCUCUUUCAUAUCAAGGUUGCCUACAACCACUCCACUAGCCCAGAGGAGCUAGUGGAAGAAGUAGUAGAAGCUGUAUGGCUUCUGCUCCUCAGCUCUCAAAGCUUUAGUCUUUGCAGCCAGCCCAGGCUGCUCUUUCCCCCAUUCUCCAUCCACUGGGGCUGCUGGCUGGGACUCUCCUGAACAUCUCACACGCCAGCAGAGCUUUGCUAGCACCUACAUUCACCGGGUUUUCAUUGCACUCCCCAGAGCAGCAAGGUACAUCUGCCAUUUCUGAGCUCCUUCCCCAUGCAGAGAUGCCUGAAAUUCCUCACAUUAAGAAGCCAGACUGCUUUGAUCUCCUGGAUGCAGCCAAGGAGGGAAGAACUUCUGUCUCCUGAUGGAGCAUCUUCCUCUCUGUCAACCUCCUGCAGCCCAACAUUUGGCCCCACUGACAACCAUUUCCCUUAAUGAGCAGUGACUGCCUUACCUCCCCUGAGCCUUGUGAGGAUUAAGGAGUUAAUUGCUUCGGAAAUGUACAACAAGAGACUAAUAAUAAUACUAGGAGUGGCACAAACAUUUCACAACGAGCAGCCUGUCAGACGCAGCCUUCUCCUUCUCCUUGCUCAGCGCUCGCUGAGAGGUGGCACUCUCCUUGUGUUGGUUUGUUGGUUUAAUAGACACAAAAAUCUUGUCUUUGUG